GUGAAUCAUCGAAUCUUUGAACGCACAUUGCGCCCGCCAGUAUUCUGGCGGGCAUGCCUGUUCGAGCGUCAUUUCAACCCUCAAGCCCCCGGGCUUGGUGUUGGGGAUCGGGAUCAGGGCCUACCCCUCCGGGGGCGGCCCCCCCGUCCCUCAAAUCCAUCGGCGGUCUCGCCGCGGUCCUCCUAUGCGUAGUAGCACACCUCGCACCGGAGCCGCAGCCUGGCUAGCCGCUAAACCCCCCAAACUUUAGAAGGUUGACCUCGAAUCAGGUAGGACUACCCGCUGAACUUAAGCAUAUCAAUAAGCGGAGGA
rnacentral:misc_RNA from 1 species